rnacentral:rRNA from 1 species
GAUGAACGCUGGCGGCGUGCCUAAUACAUGCAAGUCGAGCGAACAGACGAGGAGCUUGCUCCUCUGACGUUAGCGGCGGACGGGUGAGUAACACGUGGAUAACCUACCUAUAAGACUGGGAUAACUUCGGGAAACCGGAGCUAAUACCGGAUAAUAUAUUGAACCGCAUGGUUCAAUAGUGAAGGACGGUUUUGCUGUCUCUUAUAGAUGGAUCCGCGCCGCAUUAGCUAGUUGGUAAGGUAACGGCUUACCAAGGCAACGAUGCGUAGCCGACCUGAGAGGGUGAUCGGCCACACUGGAACUGAGACACGGUCCAGACUCCUACGGGAGGCAGCAGUAGGGAAUCUUCCGCAAUGGGCGAAAGCCUGACGGAGCAACGCCGCGUGAGUGAUGAAGGUCUUCGGAUCGUAAAACUCUGUUAUUAGGGAAGAACAAAUGUGUAAGUAACUAUGCACGUCUUGACGGUACCUAAUCAGAAAGCCACGGCUAACUACGU